AUUGAACGCUGGCGGCAUGCUUUACACAUGCAAGUCGAACGGUAACAGGUUAAGCUGACGAGUGGCGAACGGGUGAGUAAUGCAUCGGAACGUGCCCGGUCGUGGGGGAUAACGCAGCGAAAGCUGCGCUAAUACCGCAUACGAUCUGAGGAUGAAAGCGGGGGACCGUAAGGCCUCGCGCGAUCGGAGCGGCCGAUGUCAGAUUAGGUAGUUGGUGGGGUAAAGGCUCACCAAGCCAACGAUCUGUAGCUGGUCUGAGAGGACGACCAGCCACACUGGGACUGAGACACGGCCCAGACUCCUACGGGAGGCAGCAGUGGGGAAUUUUGGACAAUGGGCGAAAGCCUGAUCCAGCAAUGCCGCGUGCAGGAAGAAAGCCUUCGGGUUGUAAACUGCUUUUGUACGGAGCGAAAAGGCCUCCUCUAAUACAGGGGGCUCAUGACGGUACCGUAAGAAUAAGCACCGGCUAACUACGUGCCAGCAGCCGCCGUAA
rnacentral:rRNA from 1 species